rnacentral:rRNA from 1 species
UACAGAGGGUGCAAACGUUGCUCGGAAUCACUGGGCGUAAAGGGCGUGUAGGCGGGAAGGAAAGUCAGAUGUGAAAUCCCCAGGCUCAACCUGGGAACUGCACUUGAAACUCCCUUUCUUGAGUACCGGAGAGGAAAGUGGAAUUCCUGGUGUAGAGGUGAAAUUCGUAGAUAUCAGGAGGAACACCAGUGGCGAAGGCGGCUUUCUGGACGGUAACUGACGCUGAGACGCGAAAGCGUGGGGAGCAAACAGG